CAUCAAAGGGGACAUCUCUUAAAACGAGACAGUGAUCCGACACUUAGCGCAUUAGUGUUACCUCUCACACCUUUUGAGUAAAUGUGAAAAAUGCCUCCUAUGCUUGUUUUCUUCAGGGUGCAGCGGGUGUCAUCUCGGUGAUCGAUGAUGCUGAGGCGAGGUACCAACACAUUACAGCUGCAGUCAGCGUGCCAGCAGCGUGGAAUGAUGGGAAACGGUGCCCUGCCGCCGUGUCGUCCAUUGUGACAUUGAGAUCUUCAAAGGAUCUUUAGUCCCAUCGGCCUGAUCCAUCCAGAUCGUUCACUGAUGUGUGGUAGACACCGCCGAGGAGGAAUCUGUCUGCUGACACAGCGAACGGUCAGAGGUUUCCUUUUUUAAUCAUCCUCGGUGUCCAAAAAGAGACAUCCAGCUGAUCCUCUUGUACGGGAACAUUUCAGCCGUGGGACGGUUGUGAGACUCUUCAGAAACGGCAGAUUUAGGCGUAGAGUUCUUUUGGAUUGCAAAACGUGACUUCAAUGUCCAAACGAAGGCUUUUGUAGAGGAAGAUACUGUGAGGUAAAGCAGUAGUUCGUGACAUGAUUGUUGAUGCAGCAGGUACGAUGUGCGUUAUAUUUGAUCACAAGUUGUCAGUAUCAUGUGUGAAGUAUCUUUAUUCAUUGACUCGCUAUGUCAUCUUUAUCUAUUAACCCAGUGCUUACAGCCCGGUGGCGAUGUUUUAAUAAAGGUUACUGUCAUGCAGGGUUUGUAACACUA